GGCGGGAUAGCUCAGCUUGGUAGAGCAAACGGCUCAUAAUCGUUGUGUCCCGGGUUCAAAUCCCGGUUCCGCUA
rnacentral:tRNA from 1 species